rnacentral:rRNA from 1 species
UAGGGAAUCUUCCACAAUGGGCGGAAAGCCUGAUGGAGCAACGCCGCGUGUGUGAUGAAGGGUUUCGGCUCGUAAACACUGCUGUAAGAGAAGAAUGACAUUGAGAGUAAACUGUUCAAUGUGUGACGGUAUCUUACCAGAAAGGAACGGCUAAAUACGUGCCAC